rnacentral:rRNA from 1 species
UACGGAGGGAGCUAGCGUUAUUCGGAAUUACUGGGCGUAAAGCGCACGUAGGCGGCUUUGUAAGUUAGAGGUGAAAGCCUGGAGCUCAACUCCAGAAUUGCCUUUAAGACUGCAUCGCUUGAAUCCAGGAGAGGUGAGUGGAAUUCCGAGUGUGGAGGUGAAAUUCGUAGAUAUUCGGAAGAACACCAGUGGCGAAGGCGGCUCACUGGACUGGUAUUGACGCUGAGGUGCGAAAGCGUGGGGAGCAAACAGG